rnacentral:tRNA from 2 species
CCGACCUUAGCUCAGUUGGUAGAGCGGAGGACUGUAGUUUGUUUGAACAGAUAAUCCUUAGGUCGCUGGUUCAAAUCCGGCAGGUCGGA